rnacentral:rRNA from 1 species
UGUAAGCGUAUACCAAAGUUGUUGCAGUUAAAACGCUCGUAGUCGGAAUUUGGCAGUUCCGGAUGUGUGCACGUCGUGUGCGCACUUCGCGGGGAUUGCUUUUGUGGUCUUGCGUAGGAUGAGGCACUUUUAUUAGUGAACGUCCUCACGCAACCACUUUUUACUGUGAGAAAAUCAGAGUGCUCAAAGCAGGCAUUUGCCGUGAAUGUAUUAGCAUGGAAUAAUAGAAUAGGACUUGGUUCGAUUUUGUUGGUUUGUUGGGACUGAGUAAUGAUUAAGAGGGACAGUUGGGGGCAUUUGUAUUUCGGUGCUAGAGGUGAAAUUCUUAGAUUACCGAAAGACAAACUGCUGCGAAAGCGUCUGCCAAGGAUGUUUUCAUUGA